CCAUUGCUGGGCACACUCGCUUGUCGAGCGUAUUGUCUGAAAUAUGUAGCAAUAUUAGUUAUUUGUAAAUGGAAUACAUUUACUAACUCACUCCGCAACGAGAUGGGAGAGCACCUAGUGACGAGGCUGCAAGUGGUGAAAACUCUGGCCAAACCAGAAUGGUUGAAUAAGCCUGAAAAUUGGUGGACUGUUCUGCCCAACUUUAAUGAGCCCCUGUAGCAUGCAAAUGCAGAACUGGCAAGGCUGUUGCAGUCUACAAGAACAAAACAUUACACCAUCAUAGCGGAUUUACACCAGUGACCGGUUAUACCAGCAAAAGCCCUAUGCUAGCAGCCCACAGUUAAGAUAAAGACCCCAGAUAUGAACACCCACCAGAAACCUUGACACCACUGCUCGACUCACCAGAAACCUCAACACCACCAUCUGCAGUUGUAAGGACAAGCAUCCCACACAGAGCGGGAGUGAUCUGGUGAAGAAAAUAUGCAGUAUUAAAUCAUUUUAAAAGUUUGGCUGUUGAAGUGUAAUUAAAUUCAAGGCCUCUCCUUCCUGAAGAACACACCAGAAGUCACAUCUGGCCAUAUCUAAAACAUUUCCUUCUAAAUUGGGAGACAUGGGAAGUAUACCCUGCCACAACUUUCAAGGAAACUAAAGAAGCUCCACAGGUGAUUUGGACAAUGCAGUAGUAAGUGAGCCAAUCUUCCUUAUUCAGCUUGGUGACGGAACUAUAUUGCUUUUAAAAAAUGUUCUCUGUUUGUAAUUACUCGAAGCAAGAAAUGGUAAAAAUUUCAUUCUAUUUUAAGUUUUAAUGAAAAAUGUAGCUUGCAUAUUUUAAGCCCUGCAAUAAAUCAUUCUC